UCUUAUGGAUGAGCAAAGAAAGUGAUCUUUUUGAGAUGGAAUCUACUCCUGGUGAAGAUGCUGUGAA
rnacentral:pre_miRNA from 1 species